rnacentral:rRNA from 1 species
GACGAACGCUGGCGGCGUGCUUAACACAUGCAAGUCGAACGGAAAGGCCCUGCUCUUGUGGGGUGCUCGAGUGGCGAACGGGUGAGUAACACGUGAGUAACCUGCCCUUGACUUUGGGAUAACUUCAGGAAACUGGGGCUAAUACCGGAUAGGAGCUCCUGCUGCAUGGUGGGGGUUGGAGAGUGUCGGCGGUUGGGGCUGGACUCGCGGCUUCUCAGCUGCUUGGUGGGGUAGUGGCUUACCAAGGCUUUGACGGGUAGGCGGCCUGAGAGGGUGACCGGGCACAAUGGGCCUGCGGUACGGCGCAGACGCGUACGGGAGGCAGCAGUGGGGAAUAUGACACAAUGGGGGGAAGCCUGAGGCAGCAACGCUGCGUGCGGGAUGACGGCCUUCUGGUGGUAAACCGCUUUGGCCUGUGACGAAGCGUUAUUGACGGUAAUGGGUAAAGAAGCACCGGCUAACUACGUG